AUACGGAGGGUGCAAGCGUUAAUCGGAAUUACUGGGCGUAAAGCGUACGUAGGCGGUUAUUUAAGUCAGAUGUGAAAGCCCCGGGCUUAACUUGGGAACUGCAUUUGAAACUGGGUAACUAGAGUUUAGUAGGGGGGAGUGGAAUUUCAGGUGUAGCGGUGAAAUGCGUAGAGAUCUGAAGGAACACCAGUGGCGAAGGCGACUCCCUGGACUAAAACUGACGCUGAGGUACGAAAGCGUGGGUAGCAAACAGGAUUAGAAACCCGGGUAGUCC
rnacentral:rRNA from 1 species